GAUGAACGCUGGCGGCGUGCCUAAUACAUGCAAGUCGAGCGAACAGACGAGGAGCUUGCUCCUCUGACGUUAGCGGCGGACGGGUGAGUAACACGUGGAUAACCUACCUAUAAGACUGGGAUAACUUCGGGAAACCGGAGCUAAUACCGGAUAAUAUAUUGAACCGCAUGGUUCAAUAGUGAAAGACGGUUUUGCUGUCACUUAUAGAUGGAUCCGCGCCGCAUUAGCUAGUUGGUAAGGUAACGGCUUACCAAGGCGACGAUGCGUAGCCGACCUGAGAGGGUGAUCGGCCACACUGGAACUGAGACACGGUCCAGACUCCUACGGGAGGCAGCAGUAGGGAAUCUUCCGCAAAGGGCGAAAGCCUGACGGAGCAACGCCGCGUGAGUGACGAAGGUCUUCGGAUCGUAAAACUCUGUUAUUAGGGAAGAACAAAUGUGUAAGUAACUAUGCACGUCUUGACGGUACCUAAUCAGAAAGCCACGGCUAACUACGUG
rnacentral:rRNA from 1 species